UACAGAGGACUCAAGCGUUGUUUCGGGAUUCAUUGGGCGUAAAGGGUGUGUAGGUGGCGCCGUAAGUCGGGUGUGAAAUUUCGGAGCUUAACUCCGAAACUGCAUUCGAUACUGCGGUGCUUGAGGACUGGAGAGGAGACUGGAAUUCAUGGUGUAGCAGUGAAAUGCGUAGAGAUCAUGAGGAAGACCAGUGGCGAAGGCGGGUCUCUGGACAGUUCCUGACACUGAGACACGAAGGCCAGGGAGCAAACGGG
rnacentral:rRNA from 1 species